rnacentral:lncRNA from 1 species
CAGGAAGUAGGUCCUCACCAGACACAGAAUCUGCCAGUACCCUGACCUUGGAUUUUCGAGCCUCCAGAACUGUCAAUGUCACUGUUCCGAAGCUAGACUUGCAGUUCACUGGGAAGCAUGACACCACAGCACCUCCAGCUGUGGACGCAUCAUGGACAAGGCAGGCUGAGAGGAGAACUUCUCAUUACUUGCAGCACAGCAACAUUGGGUUCAAUGUAUGCCCAUGAAAAACCUCAUUUAAGAGAAUGCCUUGGAAAGGUGCCAAGGUCCCCAAACUAAUUAACUUUCAUCUCUCCUGGCCCUCUGCACCCUCUCUCCAUGAGGAACAUUAAACAUAGAACAUCAGCUUGAGAACACUCUAUUUAAAGCAAAAGUCCUUCUAAAGAUAGCCUUGAAUGUCCAUCUAAAUCAUCCUAAGUCCAUUUUCUGGCCCAGAAUCCACAAGGCCAGCGCCCCAGAUGGGCCCUACUAUGGUGGCUUAUAUCCAUAAAGAAUGUCUUUCACGGUUCAUUGGUUGGAUUAAUCUGAUAUAAAAUGUCUAAACUGAAAACCUCUGGGUUUGGAUCUUGAUGAGUUUUGGCAGAACAGCAAGUAAGUGACAGUAGAUUUAUUAAAUAACAAAGGAAAAGGAAA